GUCACUUUGCCAGAGUGGUUAACGGGAUCGCCUGCCAUUAUCUUCAGACUUCGAGAAAGCUUCCUAGCAGUUGUGCUUUGCUCGUGAGUGUUCAAAUGGCUCAGGUGACA
rnacentral:tRNA from 1 species